CAGAAAUAUACAGCAUGAGCUUUUAAUCACAAAUUCUGAUGGUUCCCCAGAUACCUGAAGCCCCGCCAAAGACUCCAGAAUUGGACCUUUGGACCACUUCAUAUGCAAGUGAAAGCUUCGAGAGAAGAGGAAAAGGAGUAAUUUCUGAUUCUGGGAGAGCUUCUGGAGCUGCAGCCCACACUGCAAGCUGGGGUCCUGAUGUUGUUCCCUGCUUCUCACAGCUGUACAUCUGGAUCCCAGAGGAAGAAAGAUCUUUGAGUCACCCUGAGCUAACAUCUGUUGCCAAUCUUCUUCCACGUGAGCCGCCGCCACAGCAUGGCCACUGAUAGACGAGUGGUGUAGGUCUGCACCCAGGAAUGGAAGCCGGGCCACCAAAGUGGAGUGCGCUGACCUUAACUACUAGGCCACCAGGGCUGACCCCCCAGGUGAUUCUGAUGCAGGCAGAACCCACAUGAUGGUUUGAGUCCGUUGCUGUAGGAAACCCAUAACUUGUGGCAGUUGGGGC
rnacentral:lncRNA from 1 species